UACGUAGGGCGCAAGCGUUGUCCGGAAUUAUUGGGCGUAAAGAGCUCGUAGGCGGCUUGUCACGUCGGGUGUGAAAGCCCGGGGCUUAACCCCGGGUCUGCAUUCGAUACGGGCUAGCUAGAGUGUGGUAGGGGAGAUCGGAAUUCCUGGUGUAGCGGUGAAAUGCGCAGAUAUCAGGAGGAACACCGGUGGCGAAGGCGGAUCUCUGGGCCGAUACUGACGCUGAGGAGCGAAAGCGUGGGGAGCAAACGGG
rnacentral:rRNA from 1 species